GGCUAACGCUGGCGGCGUGUCUUAGCCAUGCAAGUCGAGCGGACUUAUGGGGUAACUUAUAAGUCAGCGGCGGACGGCGGAGUAACACGUAGCUAACCUACCCUCUGGACGGGGAUAACCUACCGAAAGGUGGGCUAAUACCCGAUGUAGUCAUCCUGUAUAGGGGUGAUGAAAGGUGGGCUUCUGUUUACAAGCUCAUGCUGGAGGAGGGGGCUGCGGCCUAUCAGGUAGUUGGUAGGGUAAUAGCCUACCAAGCCGAUGACGGGUAGCCGGCCUGAGAGGGUGACCGGCCCGAGGGGCACUGAGAUACGGGUCCCACUCCUACGGGAGGCAGCAGGCUAGAAAUUUGGGCAAUGGGGGAAACCCUGACCCAGUGACGCCGCGUGCAGGAAGGAGCCCUUCGGGGUGUAAACUCCUUUUCUCAGGGAAAAAGGAUGAUGGUACCUGAGGAAUAAGCCCCGGCUAACUACGUG
rnacentral:rRNA from 1 species